ACUGGCCCUCAGGCCUGUCUAUGAAAAGGGUCAUUCCUCACGCUCUUACCUUCUCUCCUGGAGUUCAUCCGACGGUUAAGGAUGCCUCUCCUAGAAGCAGUCAUCUUCUCUUUCCUCUGGGCUGCUGGCCUUGGGCAGUUUAGGUUGGAACAAUCAGAAAUAUCCAUUUCCAAGGAAAGACAGAAAAGCGCUUCCAUAUCUUGUAAGAUGUUCAAUGGAAAUUUUAACGGAGCAUACAUCCACUGGUACCGGCAGAAGCCGGGUCAGAGCAUAGAACAUCUCAUGUAUAUCCAGUCGAUAUCAAGCCCUGCUAAGCAUACAGUGGGUGGGAAGAACAAAUUUGAAGCAACUAAAAAUUCUCGCACUUCCACCUCAACCUUGAAAGUCAAUUUUCUGGAGCAAGAAGAUGAGGCCAUGUACUACUGUGCCUGCUGGGUGAAACCCACGGUGCUGGAGUUGCCCAGAGGCGCUCCACAAAAACCAGGUUCAGGUGGCAAGGUGGUCGGUCCGUGGAUGUCUGUCAGCGGGCUGUGCAGACCAUCUUUCCAGCAGGCCAUUUCCUUCAGUGACUCCCUUGAUCAGCUAACUCCCUGCUCACUCACUUUUACCAUAAACGUCACACUGGCCAAGUCAUUUUCCUCCCUAGAAUCUUCAAAGUAUGGUCCCAAACUGCUGAUGGAGCAGCCCUGCCGUUAUAAGAUCAGAAAGCUUCAGUCCAUGAGUGAGGCUUAUCAUCCUUUUAACAAUUACUUCCACGAUUGA